rnacentral:misc_RNA from 1 species
AAAAAAAAAAUAAUUGCAAAGAGAACGGUUCUUGAUAUUAUGCUAUUUAGCCUUUCAUUUCUAGUUGAAGUUACAUAUACAUAAAUUUUUUAUGCCCAGCAUGGAGAAUUUUUAAUAGCCAUGGCAUAUAAGAGACAGUUUUCUUCUUGUUGUUCCAUUUUUCUCUCUCAUGGCAUGAUUGUAGUUUUUCAUGGCCUCUAAAAUAGCCAAGCUUGCCUAUCUCAAUCAUGGACCUUCUUUUGAGUUAUUUAUGAUGGCAUAUGGUGAGUCAUUAAUGUUUUUGCAGGAGCUUUCUAAUUGCAGGGAACUUGGAAACAACAUUUGGAGUUAUGUUCAAUAAUAAGUUUUGCUGAUAGUAGGGAUAAGGAAUUAUAGCAGCAGAUUGUCAUUAACUAAUAAUCCUUUUGGCCCUUGAACCUCUUAUGUAUCCUUUUUAAUGGAAAAGUUGUAUUUAAAGGAGAGAGAGAGAGGUAUGCAAAUUGCAAGGUUAAUAAGAUACUGUAUUUGUGACUAAAACUAAAAGCAAGUGCUUAAAAGCUUUGCAAAUUAAACUAAAUCACAUAAAUAACACAGCCACUAGAAAGUCUGCAGACUGCAAUCAGGCUACCUUGCUAACAAAGGAAGGACAACUAACAACGGUUGCAUUGAAAAGGAA